AUGAACGCUAGCGGCAGGCCUAACACAUGCAAGUCGAGGGGCAGCACGUUAAAGAGUUUACUCUUUAUGGUGGCGACCGGCGGACGGGUGCGUAACGCGUAUGCAACCUGCCUGACACAGGGGGAUAAUCCGAAGAAAUUUGGUCUAAUACCCCAUAAUACCGAUAUAGGCAUCUAUGUUGGUUGAAAGCUUUGGUGGUGUCAGAUGGGCAUGCGUUGUAUUAGCUAGUUGGUGAGGUAACGGCUCACCAAGGCGACGAUACAUAGGGGGACUGAGAGGUUAACCCCCCACACUGGUACUGAGACACGGACCAGACUCCUACGGGAGGCAGCAGUGAGGAAUAUUGGUCAAUGGGCGGAAGCCUGAACCAGCCAUGCCGCGUGCAGGAAGACGGCUCUAUGAGUUGUAAACUGCUUUUGUACUAGGGUAAUUUGCGGUACGUGUACCGUAUUGAAAGUAUAGUACGAAUAAGGAUCGGCUAACUCCGUGCCAGCAGCCGCGGUAAUACGGAGGAUCCAAGCGUUAUCCGGAUUUAUUGGGUUUAAAGGGUGCGUAGGCGGCAGAUUAAGUUAGAGGUGAAAUUCCGAGGCUCAACCUUGGCACUGCCUCUGAUACUGGUUUGCUAGCGAGUAGAUGCUGUAGGCGGAAUGUGUGGUGUAGCGGUGAAAUGCAUAGAGAUCACACAGAACACCGAUUGCGAAGGCAGCUUACAAAUCUAUAUCGGACGCUGAGGCACGAAAGCGUGGGGAGCAAACAGGAUUAGAUACCCUGGUAGUCCACGCAGUAAACGAUGAUAACUCGUUGUCGGCGAUAUACAGUCGGUGACCAAGCGAAAGCGAUAAGUUAUCCACCUGGGGAGUACGUUCGCAAGAAUGAAACUCAAAGGAAUUGACGGGGGCCCGCACAAGCGGAGGAACAAGUGGUUUAAUUCGAUGAUACGCGAGGAACCUUACCCGGGCUCGAACGGCGCCUGAACCACCCAGAGAUGGGUGGGUCUUCGGACAGGUGCCGAGGUGCUGCAUGGUUGUCGUCAGCUCGUGCCGUGAGGUGUCGGGUUAAGUCCCAUAACGAGCGCAACCCCUAUCGUUAGUUACCAGCACGUGAAGGUGGGGACUCUAACGAGACUGCCGGUGUAAGCCGAGAGGAGGGUGGGGAUGACGUCAAAUCAGCACGGCCCUUACGUCCGGGGCGACACACGUGUUACAAUGGUCGGUACAGAGGGCAGCUACCUGGUGACAGGAUGCGAAUCUCGAAAGCCGGUCUCAGUUCGGAUUGGAGGCUGAAACUCGCCUCCAUGAAGUUGGAUUCGCUAGUAAUCGCGCAUCAGCCAUGGCGCGGUGAAUACGUUCCCGGGCCUUGUACACACCGCCCGUCAAGCCAUGGGAGUCGGGGGUGCCUGAAGUACGUUACCGCGAGGAGCGUCCUAGGGCAAAACUGAUGACUGGGGCU
rnacentral:rRNA from 1 species